ACGAACGCUGGCGGCGUGCUUCACCCCUGCAAGUCGAACGGAAAGGCCCUGCUUUUGUGGGGUGCUCGAGUGGCGAACGGGUGAGUAACACGUGAGUAACCUGCCCUUGACUUUGGGAUAACUUCAGGAAACUGGGGCUAAUACCGGAUAGGAGCUCCUGCUGCAUGGUGGGGGUUGGAAAGUUUCGGCGGUUGGGGAUGGACUCGCGGCUUAUCAGCUUGUUGGUGGGGUAGUGGCUUACCAAGGCUUUGACGGGUAGCCGGCCUGAGAGGGUGACCGGCCACAUUGGGACUGAGAUACGGCCCAGACUGCUACGGGAGGCAGCAGUGGGGAAUAUUGCACAAUGGGCGGAAGCCUGAUGCAGCAACGCAGCGUGCGGGAUAACGGCCUUCGGGUUGUAAACCGCUUUCGCCUGUGACGAAGCGUGAGUGACGGUAAUGGGUAAAGAAGCACCGGCUAACUACGUG
rnacentral:rRNA from 1 species